GGCUAUGGGGCAUGCAACAGUUUUGCUGCAUGUGAUUCAUCUUGUCCUUUUUUUUCAAAAAUUUCUAGUUUCUAUUAGAUCCUAAAAACCCUUUUCUAUCUACAAUUUAUCUAUCUAUAGGUGACUCUUGCUUAAUUGAGGAUUAAGAAAAAGGGGGAAAAUUCCUUUUGUACUGUGCUACCAAUUGAAGGUAAGGGAAACUAGGUCUUUCUUUUCUUUAAAUUGAAAUUUGUAGAACAAAAUAUUGUGUAGACUGUGUUGUGGUUCUGUGGCAUUGGUUGAGUUGAUCUUAGUAUUUGUAUGAUAAAUUAUGUGUUUCCUGACUGUUUAAAUUAUGGAACUGAUAAUUGAUGUUUGUGAUUUGAAUGGAAUAUGGUAAAUUUCUUUUCUGUUUUUUUGGGCACAUGUAACAGGGGCUUAGUAUGUUAGGUUGUUAGUUUUGAAUGGUUUUUCUUUUUUUAGGGAAAAUUGGGUGGGUCGUGCCUCGUUAAAAGGAAGAGAUUUUAUGAUUGGGCGAGUAGAGAGGGGUAUGUUUUAUUUACUGUAGGAAUUAUAUAUGGGAUUUUAGAAUGAUGAAAUAAGGAGAGUGUGGAAACAAUGAGGUUGAGUUUUAAUGGUUACAAUGAAAAUCAGGAGAGGAUUACCGUGCAAAGUUUUAUGGGUGGUACGUAUGGGUUCUAAGUUGUAAGAGAAAAGGCUUUAUAUAUUGGAAGUUGUAAGUUUUAGGAUAGAUCAGAAGGUGGAGGUAAAUGGUUUUAAGGGUUUGGAUUGUAGGAGAAUGUUGGGAGUAAAGUGGAAAGGAGUGGAGAGUGUUGUAAGGGCAUGGGUCUUGCUGUAGUAGUGGAAGGGAUAGUUAGGAAGGAAAGCGUGAACGUGUGUGGGAGUUGAGUUCUGGUGGAGAGAGUUAAAAGUGAUAGUUUUAAGUAUUGUAGUGGAGAUGGAGACUGCAUCUGUGAGCGUGAGAAUGGAAGAGAUUUUUCAUAGAAUAUUUUUACUAUUGUAUUAGGUGUUUGCGUGAGAGAGAGGGAAAUGGUGAGAGCCUAGGCUUUACUCCCUGCAUGGAGUUGUUUGAGAGAAAAAUGGUUUACUUUAAAUGAAUAAAAGGGAGUGGGUCCACGCUGUGAGCAAUGAAGAUGAGAGUAGCAAUAAGAGGGAAGUACAUUUCUACUGCAAAGAAAAGUUACAGUAACUAAGGUUUGUGUAGUGAUUCUUUUCCAUAGUAAAAUAU
rnacentral:lncRNA from 1 species